rnacentral:rRNA from 1 species
ACGAGCGGCGAACGGGUGAGUAACACGUGAGUGACCUGCCCCUGACUCCGGGAUAAGCGGUGGAAACGCUGUCUAAUACCGGAUAUGACCUUCCGUCGCAUGGCGGGGGGUGGAAAGCCUUGUGCGGUUGGGGAUGGGCUCGCGGCCUAUCAGCUUGUUGGUGGGGUAACGGCCUACCAAGGCGAUUACGGGUAGCCGGCCUGAGAGGGCGACCGGCCACACUGGGACUGAGACACGGCCCAGACUCCUGCGGGAGGCAGCAGUGGGGAAUCUUGCGCAAUGGGCGAAAGCCUGACGCAGCGACGCCGCGUGGGGGAUGACGGCCUUCGGGUUGUAAACCUCUUUUACCACUAACGCAGGCUCGGGGUGUUCUCCGGGUUGACGGUAGGUGGGGAAUAAGGACCGGCUAACUACGUGCCAGCCGCAGC